rnacentral:rRNA from 1 species
UACGUAGGGUGCGAGCGUUAAUCGGAAUUACUGGGCGUAAAGUGUGCGCAGGCGGCCGCGCAAGUCGAGUGUGAAAUCCCCGAGCUUAACUUGGGAAUUGCGCUCGAAACUACGUGGCUGGAGUGUGGCAGAGGAAAGUGGAAUUCCACGUGUAGCGGUGAAAUGCGUAGAUAUGUGGAGGAACACCGAUGGCGAAGGCAGCCUUCUGGGCCAACACUGACGCUCAUGCACGAAAGCGUGGGGAGCAAACAGG